AUAAACGCUGGCGGCGCACAUAAGACAUGCAAGUUGAACGGACUUAAUCGAAAUAUUUAUAUUUUGAAGCGGUUAGUGGCGGACUGGUGAGUAACGCGUAAGGAACCUGCCUAUUAGAGGGGAAUAACAGUGAGAAAUCAUUGCUAAUACCGCAUAUGCCAUAGAUAUCACAUGAUAACAGUGGGAAAGGAGCAAUCCGCUAAUAGAUGGCCUUGCGUCUGAUUAGAUAGUUGGUGGGGUAACGGCCUACCAAGUCGACGAUCAGUAGCCGGACUGAGAGGUUGGACGGCCACAUUGGGACUGAGAUACGGCCCAGACUCCUACGGGAGGCAGCAGUCGGGAAUAUUGCGCAAUGGAGGAAACUCUGACGCAGGGACGCCGCGUAUAGGAAGAAGGUUUUCGGAUUGUAAACUAUUGUCGUUAGGGAAGAGAAAGGACAGUACCUAAGGAGGAAGCUCCGGCUAACUACGUG
rnacentral:rRNA from 1 species